AGUUUUAAAAAGCGGCCAAGUGCGAGUCGGACUCGCGCAUGAAGGGUUCCGUACCAUUUAAGACGUAUUAAAAAAAAAUCUACUUGCUAGAUCUUGUUCAACAUUUUACCACUUUAGACACACAUUUUACCACUUUGGAACUGUCUCUCGUGCAAACUAUUCAGUUUAGAAAAAAAUGAUAUUAGGAACCUAAAUAUCAUUUUUGAAGACCUAUCCAUAGAUACCCCACACGUAUGGGUUUGAUGAAAAAAAAAUUUUUUUAAUUUAUUGACGUAUUAAAAAAAAACUACUCACUAGAUCUCGUUCAAACCAAUUUUCGGUGGAAGUUUGCAUGGUAAUGUAUAUCAUAUAUUUUUUUUAAAUUUUUCAUUCUGUUAUUUUAGAAGUUACAGGGGGGGGACACACAUUUUUUCACUUUGGAACUGUCUCUCGCGCAAACUAUUCAGUUUAGAAAAAAAUGAUAUUAGAAACCUAAAUAUCAUUUUAGAAGACCUAUCCCUAGAUACCCCACACGUAUGGGUUUGAUGAAAAGAAUUUUUUUUUUUAAUUUUUACGACGUAUUAAAAAAAAACUACUAACUAGAUCUCGUUCAAACCAAUUUUCGGUGGAAGUUUGCAUGGUAAUGUAUAUCAUAUAUUUUUUUUAGAUUUUUCAUUCUGUUAUUUUAGAAGUUACAGGGGGGGGGACACACAUUUUUUCACUUUGGAACUGUCUCUCGCGCAAACUAUUCAGUUUAGAAAAAAAUGAUAUUAGAAACCUAAAUAUCAUUUUUGAAGACCUAUCCCUAGAUACCCCACACGUAUGGGUUUGAUGAAAAGAAUUUUUUUUUUUAAUUUUUACGACGUAUUAAAAAAAAACUACUUACUAGAUCUCGUUCGAACCAAUUUUCGGUGGAAGUUUGCAUGGCAAUGUAUAUCGUAUAUUUUUUUUAGAUUUUUCAUUCUGUUAUUUUAGAAGUUACGGGGGGGGGGACACACUUUUUACCACUUUGGAAGUGUCUCUCGCGCAAACUUUUCAGUUUAGAAAAAAAUGAUAUUAGAAACCUCAAUAUCAUUUUUAAAGACCUAUCCAUAGAUACCCCACACGUAUGGGUUUGAUGAAAAAAGAUUUUUUGAGUUUCAGUUCUAAGUAUGGGGAACCCCCAAAAUUUAUUGUUUUUUUUCUAUUUUUGUGUAAACAUCAUAAUGCGGUUCAUAGAAUACAUCUACUUACCAAGUUUGAACAGUAUAGCUUUUAUAGUUUCGGAAAAAAGUGGCUGUGACAGAAUCGGACAGACAGACGGACAUGACGAAUCUAUAAGGGUUCCGUUUUUUGCCAUUUGGCUACGGAACCCUAAAAACUGAUGUAUGUAGUGGUAUGGCAGGAUCACAGCAAGUGGAAAUCCGUGGUCUCUGCCUACCCCUCCGAAAAAUAGGCGUGAUUAUAUAUAUGAUUUCGUUCGUACACUGACGUAACGCCUUGAACUGCAAAACAGCAAAAUAGCUAUAUUUCAUAUCCUUUUCUGUAAUUUUCACGGUUGUGGUAACAAUGUGAAAACAGUACCCCUAGUGUAACUAAAUUCGAUUUUGAAACGUGACGUACGCGUUUGCGUUUAGUCUCAUUUUGUAUGGGUUUUUGAACAGCGCGCCAAGCGGGACGUUUUGGAAAGUCAAAAAUCUCAUACAAAAUGACACUUAACGCAAACGCGUUCGUCACGUUACGAUGUCGAUCAAAGUUACACUAGGGGUACAGGUUAGUUAACAAAAUAUUAGGAGGCGCCUGUAUAAGAAUGUCACUCACACAUUAAAGUACAGCUACCACGAGCUUGUCACUGACCUGACACUGACAUAUUCGCUAACGUAACGUCUGCGUAACUUACUUUGUAUACAUCUCGCUCGCAGUAAUAUCCACUCACAUGCUUUUGGUAACUGUAGUUACCAGCUGUCACUCUUAUUUUCUUAUAAUAAUAGAAGUCACUGAAAAAUAUCAAGCACGUGAGUGUAUAAGCCAGUACGAGCGAGAUGGAUAGAAAGUAAGUUACGCAUUCCUAGCGAAUGUGUCAGAGUCAUGACAGUGACAAGCUCGUGGUAAGGCGUGUCAUAGUAGGCCGUGUCAUUCACGACGACGCGUGCCUUGACUCGUAAUGACAUGUUAUUAAAGGUUAGAUUUGAUAAAUCUGCGCGUCAUCGUGAAUGACACAAGCUAUAUAUGACACGUUCAAUUCAUUCUUGCCAGCUCUUCUGAAUUUAUACCUUUACUGGCCAGUAUUGAAAGAACUAUAAUAUUUCUUAGUGCAUAAUAGUCAAUUUUAAUUUUACACUUAAACUUUUAUAUAUACACUGCCAUGAAUAGCAAUGAAAUAUAAUUAAUAUUUCUUGCUUGUUAUCUAUAUCAUUGAUGAUUAUAAUUUUGAACCAGCCACGUAUUGUAUAUAGCCUAAUAGUUUAAUUUAUUGAAUUCAAAUGGUGAAUUCGAACAAAAAUACUCAAAUACCAAAUGCGUCUUCUAUAUUAGUACCGGCUUACUGCUUUACACGAUUAAUAAGUAACAUAAACGAAACUGUAAGCAAUAUAAUUGUAAUUAUUCCUAGAUUUAAGCUUAGUAAGGGAAUAUCCCACUACCAAGUCUUUACUAAUUAAGUUGUUAAUACUAUGCGCCUGUGCAGGUUUCAAUGAAUUUUGAUUACUAUUCAGCAGCCAUUAUAAAUUAACUCUGUUACUUGCUUCGCAUAACGAAAAUUAAGGAAUAUUGGUCUACAAUUUGAAAUGGCUAUCUCUGUGUUAUUCAGCGACUGUACACCGACGUCCUAGGUACUUAGUGUGAUAAACUAUAGCAUCAAAAGAUAACGACUUAGCUACAUGGACUUGGAUUAACGGAAUGAAGUUAAGUAAUUUUUUGGAAAAGAGUGAUUUCUAUGUAUAAAAAUGUGUAUAUUUUACCCGACUGUGAAAGCGGAAGGGGUUGUGUUUUAGGCAUAAUUUUAAGAAUUUAGUGAAUAACCUGGCUUAUUUUAAGUAUUUAGUUUAUUCUGAUAAGUCAUACCAAUUGACUUGCAAGUAAGUUUUCGUAUAGCGUAUUACUUUAAAAUCUACUGCCUUUUAUGCCUGUUCUCAAUAUUUUUUUAUUUAAAAAUAUAAUUUUUAUGAUAAA